rnacentral:rRNA from 1 species
GAUCUUUAUUUUUAUUUUUUAUAAAUUAAAAAGAAUAUAAAUUUUUAUAAUAAAAUUAAAAAUUUUACUGGGGUGGUAUUAAAAUUUAAUAAACUUUUAUAUUUAUUUUACAUAAAUAUAUGAAUAAUUGAUCCAAUUAUAUUGAUUAAAAAAUUAAGUUACCUUAGGGAUAACAGCGUAAUUUUUUUUUAGAGUUCAUAUCGACAAAAAAGAUUGC